rnacentral:rRNA from 1 species
AUUGAACGCUGGCGGCAGGCCUAACACAUGCAAGUCGAGCGCGAAAGGCUUUCGGGCUGAGUAGAGCGGCGGACGGGUGAGUAACGCGUAGGAAUCUACCUGGUAGUGGGGGACAACUUGGGGAAACUCAAGCUAAUACCGCAUACGCCCUAUGGGGGAAAGCGGGGGACCUUCGGGCCUCGCGCUAUCAGAUGAGCCUGCGUAGGAUUAGCUAGUUGGUGAGGUAAAGGCUCACCAAGGCGACGAUCCUUAGCUGGUCUGAGAGGAUGAUCAGCCACACUGGGACUGAGACACGGCCCAGACUCCUAAGGGGGGCAGCAGUGGGGAAUCUUGCGCAAUGGGGGCAACCCUGACGCAGCCAUGCCGCGUGUGUGAAGAAGGCCUUCGGGUUGUAAAGCACUCUAAGUGGGGAAGAAAAGCGGUUGCCUAAUAAGCAGCCGCCGUGACAUUACCCACAGAAUAAGCACCGGCUAACUCCGUGCCAGCCGCCGCUGUAACAC